GCACAAGCGGUGGAGCAUGUGGUUCAAUUCGAAGCAACGCGCAGAACCUUACCAGCCUUUGACAUCCCGGUCGCGAGCACCAGAGAUGGAGCUCUUCAGUUCGGCUGGACCGGAGACAGGUGCUGCAUGGCUGUCGUCAGCUCGUGUCGUGAGAUGUUGGGUUAAGUCCCGCAACGAGCGCAACCCUCGCCCUUAGUUGCCAUCAUUUAGUUGGGCACUCUAAGGGGACUGCCGGUGAUAAGCCGGAGGAAGGUGGGGAUGACGUCAAGUCCUCAUGGCCCUUACAGACUGGGCUACACACGUGCUACAAUGGCGGUGACAGAGGGACGCAAAGGAGCAAUCCUUCGCAAAUCUCAAAAAGCCGUCUCAGUUCGGAUUGUGCUCUGCAACUCGAGCACAUGAAGUUGGAAUCGCUAGUAAUCGCAGAUCAGCACGCUGCGGUGAAUACGUUCCCGGGC
rnacentral:rRNA from 1 species